rnacentral:misc_RNA from 1 species
AAGGAUCAUUAACAAAAUCAAAUGGCAGUAGGAAGUAACGGCAGUCAAAUGUCAUUACCAAUACUGUUUAUUUCAACUUGUGAACCGUCUAUUGAACUGGCACUGAAAGAGUUCACGCUCAGCACGUGCCAGAGUUUAACAACCAACCUUUGUAAUUGCAAUCCAAUCAUCACAAACUUUAUAUAAUCACACACUAUAUAACUUUUAACAAUGGAUCUCUAGGCUCUU